UUCCCUCUCUCCUCUCCUUCCCUCUCUCCUCUCCUUCCCUCUCCCCUUCCACUUCUCCUUCCCUCACUCUGACCUCCCUAUAAUGUAGUAACAUAAUGAACAAGUGUUGAGAGGAAAGACCUAUUUUUUAAAGGGUGAGCGCUUUGAUGGCUACCAGUUUGCUAACAGGUGUGCAGCAGCAAGAAUGUUCAAUUAUGAGAGGAAUUUGGUAUGAGUUAUUAGUGUGUCAUACACGUCUGUGUGUGUACAAGUAUUAUUUUCUAGACUUGGGGAGUAUUCUUGCUGUGAAUCGGUCCUUGGCAGCUGUCUGCUGUCAUGUUACACCGGAACACACACACACACACCGCAUAGACUCUGAUAUGCCAGAUGAAGGUCCUGGGUGGUGAUAUGUGAACACACACCGGAUAGACUCUGAUAUGCCAGAUGAAGGUCCUGGGUGGUGAUAUGUGAACACACACACACCGGAUAGACUCUGAUAUGCCAGAUGAAGGUCCUGGGUGGUGAUAUGUGAAGGUUAUGGCCUUUCCCUCCUCUUUCUCAUAAAAGUCAGAUUAUCCAAGACUCACUCCACCAUCACUGCCCCAUCAGUCCCCCUUUCAUCUAAAGAGACACAUUUGGUAUCAUGAACACAAUGGUAACAUGAACACCAUGAUAACAUGAGCACCAUGAUAACAUGAACACCAUGGUAACUUUAACACUCUCUCUUCCAGAGGAAUAAAUCACACGUUGCCUCACUGCCCUAUCUAUGCCCUUCCCUGAACCAACGAAAACAGAGACAGCAGGGUGUAUCUCUCUUACGUACACACACACACACACACACACACACACACACACACACACACACACACACACACACACACACACACACCCCCCGCCUUCCCCUGUCCUGACCAUGCCCUGUACAGUUGAUCUCUGCUCUAGGCCUGCUGCAGACUGGUAGAGACUCUUUGAUGAACCACAUUCUGUAGCAGGAAGAAUCCCAAAUGGCACCCUAUUCCCUAUAUAGUGCACUACUUUAGACCAGAGCCCAUAGGGCUAUAUAGGAAAUAUGGUGCCAUUUGGGACGCACCCCUUUCUCUGUCCCACCGUUGGCUUGUGUUGUAGCACUGUGACAAGAUAGACCGAUGUGGAUGGGGGCGUGCUCUCUCUGCUCUCUCCUGAAGUCUACGAUCAGCUGCUGAGUUUUGUUGACUUUGAGGGAGAGGUUAUUCCCCUGGCACCACUAAAUGUGGUGGUUGACGCUUUCAGUUUUGUGUGGAUGCUGCCAUCUAUCCACAGUUGGAUAAACUCUAAUCAUCACAGUGGGAACAGCAUCAUCUAUGCACUUCCCUGAUGAACUCAGUCACUGAGUUAGUGAAUACGUCGAUACUAUUCUCAGAGGCAACUCGGAACAUAUCGCUGUCCACAUGACCAAAACAAUCUUGAAGAAUAGGUUCUGAUUGGUCAGACCAAUGUUAGACAUGCCUUAUCACGGGUACUUCCUGUUUAAGUGUCUGCCUAUAGGAGAGGAGGAACAGAAUGUAGGCAUGAUCUGAUUUGCCGAGGGCCUUGUAGCUGUCCCGGAAGGGGGAGCAGCAAUGGUCAGAGUUCUCAAUGAGUGAAUAGCGCAGGGGAUCUUGAUUAAACUUCCGUAAAUAAAUGCGGCCUCAGAAUAUGCGGUUUCCAGUUUACACAAAGUCUAGUGUAUUUUCUUGAAAGCCGUCGCAGUGUCUGCUUGAGGGGGAAAAUACACGGCCGUGACGAUGACCGAAGAGAAUUCUCUCAGGAGGUAAUGCGGCCGGCAUUUGAUGGAGAGAUAUUCCAAAUUGGGAGAACAAAAGGACUUGAUUUCCUGUACAUUACCUUAAUCACACCAUGAGUAGUUAAUCGUGAAACAUACACCUCCCCCUUUAUUUUUGGCGGAGAGUUCUUUCUUUCUGUCCGUGAUGUACGGAGAACCUCGCUGGCUGUAUGGACGGGGACAGUAUACCCGGAGAGAGCCAUGAUUCUGUGAAACAGAGUAAGUUAUAGUCCUUGAUGUCUUGAAUGAGAUCCGUCUACUUUAUUGUCCAGGGACUGAACAUUAGUGAGUAAUAUACUCGGAAGUGGUGGGUGGUAAUGAACGCUUGUAGGGAAUAAUACAAGAAACCUUCUGAGGAAAUAAUGUAAGAAAUACCACAAAAAAACAAUACUGCAAAGUUGGCUAGGAGCUAGGAACAUGUCUGUUGGUGCUAUCUUGAACUCCAGUGGAAAUGUUCCAUGUUCCCUCGGUGUGCACAUCACUGACAUCCUGAAAUGGUCCAGGUUCCCUCGGCGUGCACAUCACUGACAUCCUGAAAUGUUCCAGGUUCCCUCGGCGUGCACAUCACUGACAUCCUGAAAUGGUCCAGGUUCCCUCGGCGUGCACAUCACUGACAUCCUGAAAUGUUCCAGGUUCCCUCGGUGUGCACAUCACUGACAUCCUGAAAUGUUCCAGGUUCCCUCGGUGUGCACAUCACUGACAUCCUGAAAUGUUCCAGGUUCCCUCGGUGUGCACAUCACUGACAUCCUGAAAUGUUCCAGGUUCCCUCGGUGUGCACAUCACUGACAUCCUGAAAUGUUCCAGGUUCCCUCGGCGUGCACAUCACUUACAUCCUGAAAUGUUCCAUGUUCCCUCGGUGUGCACAUCACUGACAUCCUGAAAUGGUCCAUCCACACAGAUAGUGUGAUGAAGAAUGCGCAACAGUGAGGCUGAAGAAAUUCGGCUUGGCCCCUAAGACCCCCCCCUACGAACUUCUACAGAUGCACCAUUGAGAGCAUUCUAUCGGGCUGUAUCAUCAGAUGCACCAUUGAGAGCAUUCUGUCGGGCUGUAUCAUCAGAUGCACCAUUGAGAGCAUUCUAUCGGGCUGUAUCAUCAGAUGCACCAUUGAGAGCAUUCUGUCGGGCUGUAUCAUCAGAUGCACCAUUGAGAGCAUUCUGUCGGGCUGUAUCAUCAGAUGCACCAUUGAGAGCAUUCUGUCGGGCUGUAUCAUCGCCUGGUACGACAAUUGCACCGUCUGCAACCGCAGGGCUCUCCAGCGGGUGGUGUGGUCAACGCAUCACCGGGGGCACACUGCCUGCCCUCAAGGACAUCUACAGCAGGGUUUCCCAAACUUGGUCCUGGGGCAAAUUUUUGUUUUUGCCCUAGUGCUACACAGCUGAUUCAAAUAAUCAAAGCUUGAUGACGAGAUGGUUAUUUGAAUCAGCUGUGUAGUGGUAGGGCAAAAACUAAAACAUGCACUUAGGGGGAGGUGUGGGGACAUAGUUUGGGACCCCAUGGUCUACAGCAUCCGGUGGCACAGCAAGGCCAAGAAGAUCAUCAAGGAUCUCAGCCACACGAGCCACAACCUGUUCACAACGCUACCAUCUAGAAAGAGGAGACAGUACAGGUGCAUCAAAGCUGGGUCCAAGAGACUGAUAAACAGCUUCUAUCUCCAGGCCAUCAGACUGUUAAAUAGUCACCACUAACCGACCUCCGCCCAGUACCCUGCCCUGAACUUAGUCACUGUUACUAUCCGGCUACCACCCGGUUACUCUACCCUGCACCUUAGAGACUGCCGCCCUAUGUACAUAGUCAUUGAACACUGGUCACUUUAGUAAUGUUUACAUCCUGUAUAUACUGUACUCUAGUCAAGGCUCAUCCAUAUAUAACUACUGCUGUACACACCUUUUCUAUCAUAUACAUAUACAUAUACACUGAGUGUACAAAACAUUAGGAACACUUGCUCUUUCCAUGACAUAGACUGACCAGGUGAAUCCAGAUGAAAGCUAUGAUCCCUUAUUAGUGUCACUUGUUAAAUCCACUUCAAUCAGUGUAGAUGAAGGGGAGGAGACAGGUUAAAGAAUGCUUUUUAAGCCUUGAGACAAUUGAGACAUGGAUUGUGUAUUUGUGUCAUUCAGAGGGUGAAUGGGCAAGACAACAUAUUUAAGUGCCUUUGAACAGGGUAGUAGGUGGGUGCCAGGCGCACCGGUUUGAGUAUGUCAAGAACUGCAACGUUGCUGGGUUUUUCCACGUUCAACAGUUUCCCGUGUGUAUCAAGAAUGGUCCACCACCCAAAGGACAUCCAGACAACUUGACACAACUGUGGGAAACAUUGGAGUCAACAUGGGCCGGCAUCCCUGUGGAACGCUUUCAACACCUUGUAGAGUCCAUGCCCCGAUGAAUUGAGGCUGUUCUGAGGGUGAAAGGUGGUGCAACUCAAUAUUAGGAAGGUGUUCCUAAUGUUUUGUACACUCAGUGUAUUUUUAUAUUCCGGACUCUGACAUUGCUCGUUCUGAAAUUUCUUAAUUCCUUGAUUACAUUUUUUGGGAUUAGUGUGUGUAGUUGUGUAUUGUUAGGUAUUACUGCACUGUUGGAGCUAGAAAAAUAAGCUUUUUGCUGCACCUGCAUUAACAUCUGCAAAAUAUGUGUACGCAACCAAUAAAAUGUUAUUUGAUUUGAGAUGGACAUAAAGAAGGCCCUUCCUCUGUCUCAUCCCUCCUUUAUUUGCCUCAGAUCCCAGGCCUGGGGCUGUGGAGUGGUUUAAUUCAGCAGAGAGAGAUUUUUCUCUCAUUCCACCAGCUAUGUCAACAAGGAGGGGGGCACUCAGAACUCUGGGGAUGUCAUUUUAUUGUCUGAGGAUUCUAGAACAGUGUUGAAAAUUCUAUAACAGUGUUGACGAUUCUAGAACACUGAAGAUUCUUGAACUGUGUCCAAUUGUAGAACAGUGUGGAGAAUUCCGUAGAGCAGAAAAGCUCUCAGCUUUUACACAACACUGUAGUAGUUAAUGAUUGAAUGCCAGAUCUCAGCCAGUUCAGCUACAUUCCACAUAUUGUUUUUGGAACAUUGUCCAGAAACACUAAGAGCGUGAAACAUUUUUGUUCUUCUUUUGUGUUUGAGAAAGAUAGAAAAGUGCAUGAUAGAACAAUAGUGGACGAUAUCAAGAAGAGAAUGUUGAAACCUCACUUCCAGGCAGUACAUAGUAACCUCUAGCUACCACAACAAUACAAACAUACCCCCAGCCCUAAGAAGAAAGGAAGUUGGACACCCGUUAUGACACCUCUGCAAUCUGUCCCUCCAAGUCCCUCGGCAGGUUAGUAGGUGGUGUUGUAUGUCUGUGUCCCUCGGCAGGUUAGUAGGUGGUGUUGUAUGUCUGUGUCCCUCGGCAGGUUAGUAGGUGGUGUUGUAUGUCUGUGUCCCUCGGCAGGUUAGUAGGUGGUGGUGUAUGUCUGUGUCCCUCGGCAGGUUAGUAGGUGGUGUUGUAUGUCUGUGUCCCUCGGCAGGUUAGUAGGUGGUGUUGUAUGUCUGUGUCCCUCGGCAGGUUAGUAGGUGGUGUUGUAUGUCUGUGUCCCUCGGCAGGUUAGUAGGGGGUGUUGUAUGUCUGUGUCCCUCGGCAGGUUAGUAGGUGGUGUUGUAUGUCUGUGUCCCUCGGCAGGUUAGUAGGUGGUGUUGUAUGUCUGUGUCCCUCGGCAGGUUAGUAGGUGGUGUUGUAUGUCUGUGUCCCUCGGCAGGUUAGUAGGUGGUGUUGUAUGUCUGUGUCCCUCGGCAGGUUAGUAGGUGGUGUUGUAUGUCUGUGUCCCUCGGCAGGUUAGUAGGUGGUGGUGUAUGUCUGUGUCCCUCGGCAGGUUAGUAGGUGGUGUUGUAUGUCUGUGUCCCUCGGCAGGUUAGUAGGUGGUGUUGUAUGUCUGUGUCCCUCGGCAGGUUAGUAGGUGGUGUUGUAUGUCUGUGUCCCUCGGCAGGUUAGUAGGUGGUGUUGUAUGUCUGUGUCCCUCGGCAGGUUAGUAGGUGGUGUUGUAUGUCUGUGUCCCUCGGCAGGUUAGUAGGUGGUGUUGUAUGUCUGUGUCCCUCGGCAGGUUAGUAGGUGGUGUUGUAUGUCUGUG